GAUUGGAUCAUGGGGGAAAUUUCUCAUUAAUGGUUUAGCACCAUCCCUUUGGUGCUGUUUACAUGUUAGGAAGAAAUCUUCCCUGCGUCUUCCAGCUUUUGGCGGCUCCUAGCAAUUCAUCACCUGCCUCUGUCUUCACACCUCUGUGUCCUCUUCUCUCUUUAUAAGAACACUAGUCAUUGGAUUGAGAGUCAUCACAUGCUCACCACAGUAUUGUUUAUGGCAGCUGGCGAUAGGGGCACACUCGAGGUUCCCAUCACUGCUGGCAAUUAAUAAGGAAAGUGUGGUUUUAAAGUGGCCUUUUAUCCCACAUCCUGCUUUCUCUGCAGACCCAAGAGGCCUCUCCACCAUUAGACAUGCCACUAGACCAAGACUUCAAAAUGCCUCAGUACUUGAUAUCUUGAAGCAUAAGUUCCAUCGUCAGCUUAGCUCAGCCCAUCCCUCGAGGCUUACACCCUUCUAUUGUUUCCAGGCUCCUUUUUAGGGAAGAGGCGGUGUUCAAUCUAUCUUUGUUUUCCUUCAGGUCUCAGCUCAGUGCUCUACACUCAAACAUCAUUAAAUGCAUGCUAAAUCUAUUAAGUCUAUAAUACUAUUACCUGGAAUGUAUUUGUUAACUCUAUAUAAGAUAUAUUGAGAUCACUUGAGAUCAAAAUAAAUGUUUGUUUCUUAAGAAAAUAAUCUAUUUUUAGAAAGUAAAUAUAAUUUAACUUAGUUGCCCUGCAUAAAUAGGAAAUCUGAUUAUUCUUUGAUUUUACUUUUCCUUUUUAAAAUUUAAUUCACAGAGAGAUGACCAAUUAUGAAUGACCCC
rnacentral:lncRNA from 10 species